rnacentral:lncRNA from 1 species
UUUUAAUGAAGCCAGAAUCAAUGUGCUCAAUUCCAGUGAGAACUACAAACAGUGUGUCAUUCAGAAUUCCUGGGUUAUGACCGAGAUGUUCUCUCCUAUAGGUGGGCCUCAGGAGAGAUGUGGAGUCCUCAUCACGGGGUUGCCUGGUGAUUAUGGAAUAAGCGGGGGACUUACAGAGACUCAGCAUUCAGGGGAACCAGGCCACCACAUCCCAGACGACUCACGAGGUGAGCUCACAGAAGGGAGAAGACACAGGCCUUAGACAAGCAAAGGCCAGGCAGGGUGGUGGUGGAGAAGGCAGAAGUGGAGCUCCAACCCUACUCAGGGCUGUUACGCCCGAAGAGGAGACACCUG